rnacentral:rRNA from 1 species
CCUAAUACAUGCAAGUCGAGCGCUGGAAGACUAGCUUGCUAGUCUGAAGGAGCGGCGAACGGGUGAGUAAUACAUAAGUAACCUGCCUGCAAAGACCGGGAUAACGCUUGGAAACGAGCACUAAAACCGGAUAGGUAACGGAAGGGCAUCCUUCUGUUAUUAAAGGUUCAAAACACGAGCAGAUGGGCUUAUGGUGCAUUAGUUAGUUGGUGAGGUAACGGCCCACCAAGACGAUGAUGCAUAGCCGGCCUGAGAGGGUGAACGGCCACAUUGGGACUGAGACACGGCCCAGACUCCUACGGGAGGCAGCAGUAGGGAAUUUUCGGCAAUGGGCGAAAGCCUGACCGAGCAACGCCGCGUGAGUGAUGAAGGUUUUCGGAUUGUAAAGCUCUGUUGUAAGGGAAGAACGUCCGUGUGAAAAACAUGGAGUGACGGUACCUUACCAGAAAGCCACGGCUAACUACGUGCCAGCAGCCGCGGUAAUACGUAGGUGGCGAGCGUUAUCCGGAAUUAUUGGGCGUAAAGGGUGCGUACGCGGCCUUUCAAGUCAUGUUGAAAGCGUGGGGCUUAACCCCAUAUAGCCAUGGAUACUGGAAGGCUAGAGUACUGGAGAGGAAAGUGGAAUCCAUGUGUAGCGGUAAAAUGCGUAGAUAUAUGGAGGAACACCAGUGGCGAAGGCGACUUUCUAGCCAGAAACUGACGCUGAUGCACGAAAGCGUGGGGAGCAAAUAGGAUUAGAUACCCUAGUAGUCCACGCUGUAAACGAUGAAUACUAAGUGUUGGGGGAACUCAGUGCUGCAGUUAACGCAAUAAGUAUUCCGCCUGUGGAGUAUGCACGCAAGUGUGAAACAUAAAGGAAUUGACGGGGGCCCGCACAAGCGGUGGAGUAUGUGGUUUAAUUCGACGCAACGCGAAGAACCUUACCAGGCCUUGACAUCCCUUGCAAAACUGUAGAGAUACAGCAGAGGUUAUCAAGGUGACAGGUGGUGCAUGGUUGUCGUCAGCUCGUGUCGUGAGAUGUUGGGUUAAGUCCCGCAACGAGCGCAACCCUUGUCUUCAGUUACCAGCAUUCAGUUGGGGACUCUGGAGAGACUGCCGGUGAUAAACCGGAGGAAGGUGGGGAUGACGUCAAAUCAUCAUGCCCCUUAUGGCCUGGGCUACACACGUACUACAAUGGCUGCUACAACGAGACGCAACAACGCGAGUUGAAGCAAAUCUCUGAAAGGCAGUCUCAGUUCGGAUUGAAGUCUGCAACCCGACUUCAUGAAGCUGGAAUCGCUAGUAAUCGCGGAUCAGCAUGCCGCGGUGAUACGUUCUCGGGCCUUGUACACACCGCCCGCCAUACCAUGAGAGUCGGAUAUGCCCGAAGCCGGUGGCCUAACCGCAAGGAAGGAGCCGUCGAAGGC